rnacentral:rRNA from 1 species
AUUGAACGCUGGCGGCCGGCCUAACACAUGCAAGUCGAGCGAGCGGCGGACGGGGGAGUAAUGUCUGGGAAACUGCCUGUUGGAGGGGGAUAAAUACUGGAAACGGUAGCUAAUAUCGCAUACCAUCAGAUGUGCCCAGAUGGGAUUAGCUAGUAGGUGUGGUAACGGCUCCCCUAGGCGACGAUCCCUCGCUGGUCUGAGAGGACGCACAGCGAGACUGGAACUGAGACACGGUCCAAACUCCUACGAGAGGCAGCGAUGGGGAAUAGUGCACAAGGGGCGCAAGCCUGAUGCAGCCAUGCCGCGUGUGUGAAGAAGGCCUUCGGGUUGUAAAGCGCUUUCAGCGGGGAGGCGUUACCCGCAGAAGAAGCACCGGCUAACUCAGUGCCAGCAGCCGCGGUAAUUC